rnacentral:lncRNA from 1 species
AGAAGCGAGCGGCACCCCGGGACCAUCCCACAGCAGAUCCAGUGGCCGCCAACGUCAGGCUGGAGUUGCCUCCUUCGUGGAUGUUGGAUGUGGAAGCCCAGGAGCCCCCCAAGGGGAAAUGGUCGACGCCGCCCUUCGACCCGCGCUUCCCCAGCCAGAACCAGAUCCGUAACUGCUACCAGAACUUCCUGGGUGAGACCUGCUCAGCCAGGUUAUGGGAGGAGCAGGGUGUGACAAGGGACGGCAGGGAGGGGCACUCCCACCCUAAGUCCCGCGGAGACCGUUAGGGUGGGAGGCCGGGCGGGGCCGGGUUGGUGGGGGCGGGGCCUGGUCGAGAAAAGGCGGGGCUGAGCCUGGAGGGGCGGGGCGAGGUUGGUAGGGGCGAGGCCUGAUCUGGAAGGUGCGGGGCCGAGUCGUGAAGGUGCGGGGCGAGGUAGGUAGGGGCAGGGUCUGGGUAGGAGGAGCAGUGUGAGGGAGGUAGGGGUCGGGGCCUG